rnacentral:rRNA from 1 species
CGAACGGGUGAGUAACGCGUGAGGAACCUGCCCCAAAGAGGGGGACAACAGUUGGAAACGACUGCUAAUACCGCAUAAGCCCACGGCUCGGCAUCGAGCAGAGGGAAAAGGAGCAAUCCGCUUUGAGAUGGCCUCGCGUCCGAUUAGCUAGUUGGUGAGGUAACGGCCCACCAAGGCGACGAUCGGUAGCCGGACUGAGAGGUUGAACGGCCACAUUGGGACUGAGACACGGCCCAG